rnacentral:rRNA from 13 species
UUGAAAAGCCAGGGGAUGACUUGUGGAUCGGAGUGAAAGGCUAAUCAAGCCCGGAGAUAGCUGGUUCUCCCCGAAAGCUAUUUAGGUAGCGCCUCGGACGAAUACCACAGGGGGUAGAGCACUGUUUCGGCUAGGGGGUCAUCCCGACUUACCAACCCGAUGCAAACUCCGAAUACCUGUGAGUACUAUCCGGGAGACACACGGUGGGUGC